AUGUUCUCGUGAAAAGAAAUACUUAAUCACGCCAUGUAAAGGCAUAAGACCCAUAGAAGCAUAAAGGCACGAUGAACUGAGAGCGUGGAGUAGAAGUCGGAGAUUAACGACGCGAAGGAAAAGCCGUGUUUCCAAAUGACUGCGUUGCAACGGGGAUUUACUACAUUUGCUGCAUCUAUAAUUAUAGACAGAAAAUUUCUUAAUGGAAAAAUUGAGUCGGACUAAAGAUGGACCAAGAUUUCGUAUUAUUAUUUAAUUUAAAAAUAUCCAGGAGCAAAAAAUAUAGAAAGGUCAAUCCAUCCGCAAGGUUUUGCGAUGAAAGCGUGUCGCGCUCGUGCAAACGAUUAAUUCUAUUCCCAGUGGUAUGAAACUUGCGAGAACCUUAAUUUCCAUAAAAGGAAAUUCUGAAGCUUGACAUCGAUUUCAAGGUGCAUUUCUCAAAGAUGGGACUUCGGAAACCCCUGAAUAUGCCUGUCUAAUGAAAUGUAACAGAAAUCUACACAAUAUUAGGGUGAAAAUCAUGAGGCUAACGUGGUUGUUUUGUUAUGCUAAUAUAACGUGGCUUGACAUCGUGUUUCAAUUGAUUUUUCUUCGCGGGUAACGUACAAUAGUAUAAAUAGUUUCUCCAAUGUGGAAUUAUCUUCUAUUUCCUUGAAUUUCAACCAU
rnacentral:misc_RNA from 1 species